ACAAAGAAGGGUGAUUCAGGAGACUCCAUGCAGUCUCAGGUUGCUAUUCUCCAGCUGUUAAGGCAUGGAAGUUGCUGGGUGUUUGCUAGUUGCCGGGCAAAGUUGUUUGACCAAUGAGAAGUUGCUUUGAAAAGGAGUGCUGCGGGGCAAAAGGUAAAAGAGGAGAGCCUGUCCUCAAGAUGAAAAGGCAACACGAUAUAAUGAAGUUAUGUCAUCAAUAAAGAAAUAGAAAAAAAGGAACGAAUUGAGAUGGGGAAGAUGCUAAAACUUAUCUGAAUUAAUAUUUACCUACAUAUAUGGUAAAAUAUCCUAAUUAUCUGGGAUGUAGAUGAGAACCUUGUGAGAAGCAUAUGUAAAAAGGAAGAUAUCGUUCAAGACCAACGGAUUAGGGAAGGACGAACAACUCAUUAGGGAAGAAUGAACAACUUGUUGGCAGGAAACAAGGCAAAGAUAAACAAAAAACUUCUAAAUACUGUCCAACAGAAGGUCAACGUCCAGAAAGGUAAAAAGUUUAACCUCCUCUUCCUCGUUGCCUUCAUCCUGAAAGACUCCUGCCCACAACCACCAGGCUACAUUGCGCAGGCGCAACCAGGAGGAGCUAAGGGCGGGGAGUAUAGAAAUGAGUACUUGGAAGAGGUCUGCCUUUUCGGGGGAAAUAAUGAAUAUGCAUUACAGCUCAUGUAAUAUGUAACAGUAUUCAUGUAUAAAGUUGUGAGAGACGACCAGGCAGGCGUGCACCUUUUUGAGGGAAGCUAUUCCCAGUGUGCCCGGUGCACCACAAUAAAGUAUACCUACUUUACAACCCUAUGGUUGUGGAGUUUUCCGCAUGUCAGGAUAGGGACAGGCUAACAGGACAGGGACCAGGACAGGAACUGAUCACCUAAUUAAGAUAAGUUCAGCCAAACUCAGCAAACCGCUCAAAGAAGCUUGUAUAGAAAGUCACUGGAAAUAGGCGCACCGGAGCUGGAAAGAAGCUCAAACUGAGAGAAGCGAACCUGCGCACACAACUGCCCCUUAUUGCUUGUCCACCAGUUCCUGAAGCUGGGAAAUAUUUUUCUUAUCCUCUUCAGACUGUGAGAAGUGAAAAUAAAGUCAUCCUGGAAAGAUGGACCAAUGUGAUGCACUUAGAAUACAAGAAAGAUACAGAAUAGAGCAGAGGAUUUGAAAUACCUGGUGACCUUGUGAUGAGCUGAACAGGAAGGAAAGUCACCUAACCUGAGUUUUGUGGGAAAACCAUAAGAAACAAAAGCUUGGGAAGAGGCAGAGUUCAUGUACCCCAGAAACACGGAAGCAUCUUAGCAUGAUGGAUCCCAGCUGACAAAGAUCUGAGAACUUACGCUGGAGGUUCUUAUUCUCCCGUCUGACAGUCUCUGCCUGGUCAAGAAUUUCUUCAUAGGCAUUCUUCAUCCGGAAUAUCUCAGUGCUAAGGGAGCAAGACUCCUUCUGGGCAGCUUCCAGGUCAGCCUGACUCUCCUGGUACUUCUGCUUCCACUCAGCCACAACCUGGAGUGACAGAAACCAUCAGAGCAUAAGAAUGGCCCGUUCUUCAACACUCCUGUCCCUGUACGUAUAUGUAACAAGAACCUCAGAGGCAUGGCAUCGGAUCACAAAAUCUUCUUUAUUGCACAUUCACUGCCUGUGACAAUCAAUUCACUGGGAUACAUACUUUGUCUGUUUCAAGGGCAGCUACUUAUGUUAUUCUCUUCAGACAAUAGGAGUGUAUGCCCCCAAGCUCACAGCUUGCAGGUCAUCCAGUGUCUGCUGGUGUACCUCCUGUAAGGCCUUUUUCUCCUUGGCAAUGACUACAGUUCAGAAACAAUAUGGGUUCUGAUGAAUCAACAAAUCUCUGAUCAAAGAGGGAGAAGACUGGAGAGACCUAAGAGAGUAUUUAUGAUGACAUUCCCUCAAAUUCCACUGAAGUAGUCUGUUUCAGAGGAUGUGUCUCCAUGAUAUCACCAGAUUUGUCACCUGAGUUUUGGGUUUACUGAAUCCUUAAAUUAACAAACUAAUAACUGAAGACCUACCGUUGCUUAAAGUCUGAAUAAAGGAUUCUGCUUGGAAACCCCUUCCUGCAAAUUCGGAUGCCUUCUAGAACCCCAUUGCACCGCAGCUGAUGCAUCACCAAGUAAUGGUCCAUUUCACCUUAAACAAGAUACAUAUAUCAUGACUGUUUCUAUU